UCAGUAGCUCCGCCUUUCACACACACGCGCACACUCGAACCUCUCUACAUAGGCUCACUCAUGGCUAGUUCUGGGAAGGGCAUUUGGCAGGGAGAGAUGUUGGGUCUAGAUUUGCUUCCAGUGAAAGUGACCAGAACCAGUCUUCCUCCCAUAGAUUAAUGGAGAAGUAGACUACUACAAAAGACUUCAGAACUACAACUUCCUCCUUAAGUGUUAUGGAGAAGCAUAAUGAUCCCAAUAUAAGGUUCAAUAAGAUGGCCCACCAGGAGAUGGGUCUGGUCCAGCCUGUCCCUGUGGCCAACACCCAGACCAGGGGACAGUGGUCCAGCAAGCUGGAGUACCUCCUGGCUGUGGCCGGACAGAUCAUCGGCCUGGGGAAUGUAUGGAGGUUCCCAUACCUGUGCUACAAAAAUGGGGGAGGGGUGUUCUUCAUCCCUUAUGUGCUUUUCCUGUUCACCUGUGGCAUUCCCCUCUUUCUUCUGGAGACCUCCCUGGGCCAGUACACCACGCAGGGCAGCAUCACCUGCUGGAGGAAGAUCUGCCCCCUGUUUGAAGGACUGGGUUAUGGUGGUCAGGUGGUAGUUCUGUAUUCCAGCAUCUAUUACAUCAUCAUCCUGGCCUGGGCCUUCUUCUACCUCUUCUCCUCGUUCAGCUCUGAGCUCCCCUGGGCUAGUUGUAGAAACAGCUGGAACACAGCAACCUGCGUGGAGUUUGACAGAAAAGUAGUAGGAUAUCUAAACUGGACAAUAACAGGAAACGCAACAUCGCCAGUGAGAGAGUUCUGGGAGAGAAGAGUUUUGAAUCUCACAGACAGUGUCUACAAGCUUGGAAAUAUUCGCUGGGACCUAUCUUUGUGUCUUCUAUUGUCCUGGAUUAUCUGUUACUUCUGUGUCUGGAAAGGAGUGAAGUCUACUGGGAAGGUGGUCUAUUUCACUGCCACCUUCCCCUAUGUGAUGCUGUUGGUGUUGCUAGUUCGUGGACUCACACUGCCAGGGGCCAUAGAUGGUAUCAAGUUCUACCUCUACCCGGACCCAGCCCGCCUCGCUGACCCACAGGUGUGGAUGGAUGCUGGAACACAAAUCUUCUACUCCUAUGCGAUCUGCAUCGGCUGCCUGACCGCCCUUGGCAGCUAUAACAAGUAUGACAACAACUGUUACAAGGACUGUGUGUACCUGUGCCUUUUGAACAGCGGAACCAGCUUCGUGGCUGGUUUUUCUAUCUUCUCUGUACUGGGCUUCAUGGCUUAUGAACAGGGGACAGACAUCGCAACUGUGGCCGAAUCAGGUCCUGGCCUGGCGUUCAUCGCCUACCCUCGUGCUGUGGCCAUGAUGCCAGUACCCCAACUCUGGGCCAUUUUUUUCUUCAUCAUGAUCAUCCUACUGGGGUUAGAUAGUCAGUUCGUAGGUCUGGAGGCUCUGAUGACAGCUAUCUCAGACAUGUAUCCCUCCUUCUUCCUGGUUGGUCAUCGGCGUAAAAUUCUCCUCCUCAUCAUCAGUGUGGGUAGCUUUUUCAUCGGCCUGGUCAUGGUCACAGAGGGAGGCCUGUAUAUCUUCCAGCUGUUUGAUUACUAUGCCUGCAGUGGGAUGACUCUUCUUCUCUUCGCUGUACUACAGUCAGUGUGUGUCAGCUGGGUUUAUGGUGCAGAUCGUCUGUACGAUAAUAUAGAGGACAUGAUCGGUUAUCGACCAUUACCCCUCAUUAAGUACUGUUUGAAGUAUAUCACUCCAGUCAUCUGCACUGAAAGUUCUCCUGCAACAGGCUACGUUUGUCUUCUCCUUGAUUAGGUUUACCCCGCUAAAGUUCAACAACACCUUUGAGUAUACUUGGUGGGGUUACGCCAUUGGUUGGUGGUUCACCCUCUCCUCCACACUCAUAGUUCCUCUGUGGAUGGUGUACAUUGUGAGUGUCACUCCUGGUACACUGCGACAGAGACUGUCUAUCCUCACCACGCCCUCAGAGGAUCUCCCUAUUACCAAGGCCCAGAAAAAGGCCCUCCUGGCCAAGCAGUCCGAGCUGGACAGACCUCUGGGGGACAUGAAGAUACCAACCUGGGGCCACAAUCUCAUAGACAGAGAUACUCUCUCGCUCGCCCACCAUCCCUACAGGCCUGGAGACAAGCAGGUCCAGCCAGUCACUCACUCUCCUAAAGGUUGUGACACUGUGACUGUGUGACACUGUGUUUGGUCUGAGUGGGUUAGGAAAGUAUAUAUCAUCCACCACAGGCCUUUUUCUUGGGAGAGCGUUGUGGGCAAGUGCUUUCAAAACACACACUACUUCCUGUGUGUAGCAUUAUUAAGGAGACGUAGCAGCACUGGUUCUGGGAAAGUCUUGGAUGUGGAAAUAGUUUGGGCCAGAACACACUGAAGUGAGAUAGUGAGUAAGGUCCAGCACAAAAGAUGGACCUUUGAAGUUGUGCUUUAAUCAGGACUUGGGUCAUGUAGGACACAGUAUUUCAUCGAAAUUCAUGACUUUCUGUCACCGAACAUAGUGGAAACAAAGGCAUAUGACGAUCAUGCUCUUGGUCACAGUUGGUUAAAUGAUUCUGUAUAUACAUGUGAUCAAACCCUUUUUAAUAAAGAAAGGUAAUAUUU